GAUGUUCAGCUGGUUUUCGCAGAGCAAGGAUUUUGCCGACCCGUAUAGGCUGUAUAGAUAGCAGGUCGACAACUGCAUCUUGCGUCGGUACUGCUAGCGGGUCAAAAUUUGACAAAAGCUGUGGAUCUUGAUUGCGUAUUGGGCUUAGAAUAAUGGAAGCCUCCAAUUCCGGCAUCGAGGCAUAUGAGGACGAGAGCAUUUCAGACUGGUCUUGCUUGGGUAGUCCAAUGCCAGGCUCGUUGCACGUAGAGACCAGGGUACCAAGCGGGGGAUGUAGGAAAUCAAUUAAGUCAUUUGCGGGCAGGCUUGCCACUCCCUGUGGGGUAAUAGAUCCCGGCUCCAUUCCCCCGUCUAUUUGUUCUUUAUGGCGCACAGGCCCAGCAUCAACAUCGACAGCACCUAUCCUGGUGCAUAGCGGUGUACGGGUCAGAUUGGUGAAUACCCUUGUAAAAUAGAUGUACCAUUUUCUUGUGCGGUUUCUUAAUUUUAGAAUCUUUGCAACGAAAUGGGCAGAUCUAAAGUUAAUAACCAUACGUCUCAUAUAGGGUCCAGAAGGCAGCCAUGAGAUGUCCACGAUAUCUACGGGGCGUAAUGUCUGCCCCAGCAGUUGGGUCAGGGAAUUUGUGACCGAAUGUUUAUCCGCCCAUUUGUUAUAAUUCAAGGGGUGGUUUCCCACCAGUACUGCAAGUUUGCUGUUCUGGAGUUGCAGACUUGAGUUUUGUACUUGGUUGGGCAGGCAUCUCACUUGUUUUUGUGCAAGGUUGGCCUGCGCACUUGGGCAGGGGUGAGCGGAGUUUGCAAUGUUGUUAAGCUGAAGAAGUGAGGGGGGGCAACUGAACAAGCCAAAGGCUUUUUCAAGCUUCUUUUCGAUCCCAUCCAGCCUUUUAUAUAAGUUGGUGAUGGUAUGUGUUAUCAACUCAGUCUGGCAGAUUAGCAGUUCCAGUGCCUCUCGGUCCUUGUUUAACUGGGCUGGUGACUGGGAUAAUUCAGGUGAAGUUUUUUGCAGGGACUCAAGAGUCUGUUCCAUCUGUUCCUUCAUACACAGGCUCGAGGCUAGUUGUGGGCCAUCCACAAUGCCGGCAGGCUCCUCAUGAGUAGUACUGGGAGCAAGGACCUCAUGGCUGUUUGCUGUGGGGAAGUUUCUACAGAUCUCAUUUAGGUCAUUGUCAGGCAAAAAAUCCCUGAUAUUUGUCUGUUUUUUGGCAGUGCUCGUAGCUUCAUUGGAAUGCUGCCUGCGGCGUUUCUUCCCUCUCAUGUCGGCAAGAAAAUAGGGAGAAAAUUUCUCAAAAUAAUAGGGUCAGGGCAGGUUGUGCUGUUAAUGAGCCCUACUCCCUUUAACAGUCUUUAUCUGCCGUGUUUUCUUGCAGAUUUAUGGGAGAAGUAGAAAUAAUCUAAACCAUAAAACUUCUAAAAUAAACGCCUUAAGGCAUCUUAGAGCCCUUAGAACCCGUCAAAGCAGAUAAUAAAAAUAUAGCUUUACCGAGCAUAAGACAAGGCUGCCGCUCACGUCGCCAUCUUGGAU